rfam:Pongo abelii chromosome 5.
CAAAUGGAUUCAUUUGAAUCCAUUUCAAACAUUGUUUCAUUGUUUUU